rnacentral:rRNA from 1 species
GAUGAACGCUGGCGGCGUGCCUAAUACAUGCAAGUCGAGCGAACGGACGAGGAGUUUGCCUCUCUGAUGUUAGCGGCGGACGGGUGAUUAACACGUAGAUGACCUAUCUAUAAGACUGGGAUAACUUCGGGAAACCGGAGCUAAUACCCGAUGAUAUUUUGAACCGGAUGGUUCUAAAGUGAUAGACGGUCUUGCUGUCACUUAUUCAUGGAUCCUCGCUGCAUUAGCUAGUUGGUACGGUAACGGCUUACCAAGGCAACGAUGCAUAGCCGACCUGAGAGGGUGAUCGGUCACACUGGAACUGAGACACGGUCCAGACUCCUACGGGAGGCAGCAGUAGGGAAUCUUGGGCAAUGGGCGAAAGCCUGAUGGAGCAACGCCGCGUGAGUGAUGAAGGUCUUCGGAUCGUAAAACACUGUUAUUGGGGAAGAACAUAUGUAUAAGUAACUGUGCGCGUCUUGACGUUACCUAAUCAGAAGGCCACGGCUAACUACGUG